rnacentral:rRNA from 1 species
UACGUAGGGACCAAGCGUUGUUCGGAUUUACUGGGCGUAAAGGGCGCGUAGGCGGCAAAUUAAGUCAGCUUGUGAAAUCUCCGAGCUUAAACUCGGAACGUGUCAGCUGACUACUGAUGUGCUAGAGUGCGGAAGGGGCAAUCGGAAUUCUUGGUGUGAGCGGUGAAAUGCGUAGAUAUACAAGAGGAACACCUGAGGUGAAGACGGGUU